GUCUAUGGCCAUGCCACCCUGAACAAGCCCGAUGUCUGAUCUCAGAAGCUAAGCAGGGUUGGACCUGGUUAGUACUUGGAUGGGAGACCACCUAGGAAGACCAGGUGCUGCAUGUG
rnacentral:rRNA from 1 species